AGGCCAUGAUGUGGACACUUUCUCUGCAAUUCUUUAAACCCCUCCUCGACUUCAUAUAAAGAUUUAGCAUCAAACUGAACUAAACUGGUAAUAUCAUUUCUAAGUUU